rnacentral:rRNA from 1 species
UACGUAGGGGCAAGCGUUGUCCGGAAUCAUUGGGCGUAAAGAGCGUGUAGGCGGCUCGGUAAGUCCGCUCUGAAAGCCCGGGGCUCAACCCCGGGAGGCGGGCGGAUACUGUCGGGCUAGAGUCCGGAAGAGGCGAGUGGAAUUCCUGGUGUAGCGGUGAAAUGCGCAGAUAUCGGGAAGAACACCCGUGGCGAAGGCGGCUCUCUGGGACGGUACUGACGCUGAGACGCGAAAGCGUGGGGAGCGAACAGG